GGGUUUUUGGUUAAACGUGAUAUGAGCAGGGCAUUCGAGCAAAUAGGAAAACUCAAGUUUUAUCUUAUGUUGGUUUUUCUCCUAAAGUAGUAUAACUUCUCUCUUAAUGUUAUACUACUUUCACCUAUCAACUCAUUAUUAAUGGUAAUCUUAUUCGUGGGGAUCCCCUCAAAUAAGUCUUAGAUAAGAAGAUUUCCUCUCCCCCUACUUAUUCAAACUCUAGACUGAUUUCUUCUCCCACCUAUUAUUCCAAGCAAAAAC
rnacentral:lncRNA from 1 species